rnacentral:lncRNA from 10 species
GAGGCUGGAACUGAAGCUGAGACUGAGGCUGAGGCUGAAACUGGAGCUAAGGGUGAGGCUGGAACUGGAGCUGAGGUUGAGGCCAGAACUGGAGCUAAAGUUGAGGCUGGAACUGAAGCUGAGGUUGAAGGUGGAAGUGGAGCCGAAGCUAGAGGUGGAACUGAGGCUGAAGACUGUGCUUGCUGGAUCCCUGUAGCCUGUUUUUUGGCAAAUCUUGG